rnacentral:rRNA from 1 species
GACGAACGCUGGCGGCGUGCUUAACACAUGCAAGUCGAGCGGAAAGGCUCCUUCGGGGGUACUCGAGCGGCGAACGGGUGAGUAACACGUGAGUAAUCUGCCCUUGGCUUCGGGAUAGCCACCGGAAACGGUGAUUAAUACCGGAUAUGACAGCUUCUCGCAUGAGUGGUUGUGGAAAGUUUUUCGGCCAGGGAUGUGCUCGCGGCCUAUCAGCUUGAUGGUGAGGUAAUGGCUCACCAUGGCUUCGACGGGUAGCCGGCCUGAGAGGGUGACCGGUCACACUGGGACUGGGACACGGCCCGGACUCCUACGGGAGGCAGCAGUGGGGAAUAUUGCACAAUGGGCGCAAGCCUGAUGCAGCAACGCCGCGUGCGGGAUGACGGCCUUCGGGUUGUAGACCGCUUUUAGUAGGGAAGAAGCCUCUUGGGGUGACGGUACCUGCAGAAAAAGGACCGGCUAACUACGUGCCAGCCGCCGCCGUAACAC